AGCUACCGAAGUCUACAGAGGGAAGAAACAGAGCUGGAGUCACGAGUUGGUGGUAAAGCUGAUUUUGGAUAUUGUCACUUGUUCCGGAGUGCAGCUUGGCAUAAGGAGAAUGACGAAUCAUGGAAGGGUGCAUUGGGGACACCAUUUUGAACAAUUUAAGGAAAAAAGUUACAGCUUAAAGAGAGCAGCUCAUUACCAUCAAUUAUGCCUGCGCUGCGAUCUGUAUCAGACCCAACCAACAUUGAAGUCGCCCGAGCCACCACCUCAUCUAUUCCAUAUCCUGCAAUUCCUGCCUCACUCCUUCCAUCCAAUGAGGGAUCGCCUCGACUUCAAACUUUCCAGCUUCCAGUCAACAAGUCAUCCUCCACAGUUCUGACCACU